GGAAGCGUGCCCGAAAANUU
rnacentral:tRNA from 1 species